rnacentral:misc_RNA from 1 species
GUAAAAUAUAAAAAAGUGGCAGCUUAGAUUUACCCAGGUUAUUCUACUGUCCAGAAGAAUCCAGUGGAUCCUCAUUUUGCUGUUAAAAAUACAGAUACAACUUUAGACAUCACAUGAUUGAUUUCUACCUGAGUUUUCCACUGAAUUUAUCUGUAAAACUUAACUCCCUUCUUCACCCUUACUUGAAAGUUGUUCAUUUUCCUUUAACUUUAAUUCAUCAGACUCGAGAGACUUUGGAAGUACUGAAGAAUCCUCGACCCUGUCUUUCAGUGUCUCAUCGAUUGGCUCGUCUUUCUGUGUCUCAUCAAUUGGCUCUCCUGCUGAGGCAGCUUCAGAUUCGGUGUUGAAUUCAAACUCAGGGGGCAGAGUUUGUUCUUCAUUGUUGGGCAAUGGAGGAGAUGGAUUGUCAAUGCCUGAUCCUUUAGCAAGGCAAAUAUACUUGAUAACUAGGCGCUUGUAAUUGGUUAGCAGUUCUUCGAUAUCACCCACUGUUAGAUCACCAGCCUGGGAAUAUAGGUAGGGGAAACUUUGGAACACUUGGCUGAUGCUAUCCUCCUUGAUAAGCAUACUAGCCCCUCUGUGUUCUAAGUCCGACAGUGACGGGAUCUUUUCCAUUGAUGACUGACUUUUAGAAUACUGAUCCUCGUUCUUAAUGUUUGUUUCUGUUGAUGCAACUGAGAGAUUUGGCUGCGUAGCAGGGUGUGGAGGCCUAUUUGACCUAAAACUUUGUUUGGCAUCAGAAGUGUCUGCACCAGGAACAGGUCCAGCGUUCUGAUCACUCUGGUCCAGUACAUUGUUGUCGGCUGAAAGACCAGAAAGAAGUGCUCGAGCAGACUCCAUAUUUGUUUCAAACUCGGUCUCAUCCAUAGAAAGAGCUCGUGCAUCAAUAUUUGAAAUGAAAGAUUCUGCAGAAAGAAUGUUUGUGAAGAAGUAUGCCGCUUCAGAAACCAGGCGUGUUUGCCGCCUAAACCUUUGUAUAUACAGCAGAUUUGAGUGCAGCUGAGGGGGGUUAGCCUUUAUGGUGACAUAUAUGAGAACGGGAAGAAAAUCAUCGGCUCCUGGAGGGUUAUCCUUUGCUGAAACAGAAGUCAGGAUAUUAUUGAUAACCUUGCAACAAUUAAGAAUACACACAAGUUUGUCUCUUGGUGCCCUGUACAUAUUUAUCUUUUGUAGCUCCUUCUGUGCAAGCAACCAUGACGAUUCAUUUUGAAAUGUUGGCUUGAUAUCCAAAUUCUCAGGCCUAACAAAUUGUUGAAUCAAAGCAAUUUUCUCAUGAAGCUGUUCAUCGACUUUCACAUCUUCAGGAAGUGAAGCAAAUGUACGUGUAAAUAGCUUCGUCAUGACAUACUUCUCAAGUCCUUCACCAGCGCUCUCCAACUCCUCCUCAGAACAUCCAGCCCAAAGUGAAUGAGCUCUAAAUGCUGUUUCCAUAUUUCCAAGGAAUUCCUGCACGGCUGCACUAUCCCUCUCUGCGUCUGGAACAUUGUUCAAAAAUGAUACAAUAAAACUUUUGAUGGAUUUGACGAACUCGGCAGCGCUUGGAUCACGCAUUCGCUGAAGGAAAUCAUGCCACGUCAAUGGUGCAGUAGACGAUCCUAAGACGUCGCUGUUCUCCAUUUUCAGAUCGACGGC